UGAAAUUCUGUACGACAGACUAAGAACAUUUAUGUUAUUAGCUCUUCGGACAUCAGUCUGCAAUCUUUUUCACGUCAUUCAUUUGACGGGAUUGGGAGCAGACGUUUUACCUUGAGAAAAUUAGAGUGUUCCAGGCAGGCUUCAGCCCGAAUACAUUAGCAUGGAAUAAUAGAAUAGGACUAGAGACUAUUUAUUGGUUUGAGGCUCUAGUAAUGAUUAAUAGGAACAGUCGGGGGCAUUAGUACUUAACAGUCAGAGGUGAAAUUCUAGGAUUUGUUAAAGACUAACUAAUGCGAAAGCAUUUGCCAAGCAUGUUUUCAUUAAUCAAGAACGAAAGUUAGGGGAUCAAAGACGAUUAGAUACCGUCGUAGUCUUAACCAUAAACUAUACCGACUCGGAAUUGGAUAAUUUUAAAAUAGGUUAUUCAGCGCCGUAAAAGAAAUCAAAGUCUUUGGGUUCUUGGUGGAGUACGAUCGCAAGAUUGAAACUUAAAGGAAUUGACGGUUUUGCACCACCAUGGAGUGGAGCCUGCGGCUUAAUUUGACUCCAACACGGGAAAACUUAUCAGGGUAAAUGUAUUUGCGAUUGACAGAUUUGA
rnacentral:rRNA from 1 species